rnacentral:lncRNA from 1 species
UUUUCACACUUAAGGUAAUCUUCAUAAUGUCAAUACCAAAUUUCAAUUUUGUGGCAAUAACAGUUGGAAAAGAAUUCACAGAACAUUAUCUCCUUAGAGCAUAGAGCCCAACUACAUGCUGAACCAAAUGCGAAUUUCCUGAAUCAACACAUCACCAAACAUUCGUAUCCGCUAACAUCAUAGCAUGACCACACCAAGCCAUAGUGGUAGUGGAGACACUAAUUUUACAUGGUAUAGUAGUAAACUAUAUUAGAUAGAUAGAUAGAUAGACGGAUAGAUAGUUCCAUCCAGACGCCUUGUCACCCAAAUUUCUUGCAAGACUUGCAGCAACCGACUUGUUUUGGCAUAAACAACUGGUGAUGCAAACAGUGAUAUAAAAGAAAUGACAGUACCAUACAAUCAUGACAAUUCAAUAGCCACCCCUUUCUUAUUUUGUUCCCUCGUUCAUCUUCAGUUGGUACAGGUCACUGAUUACUAUAGGUGCAUCACCCCAAAAAAAAGUCACAAUCUUGUAUAUAGCCAAUAGGAAUUAGAAAUUAGCAGAAAAAAUUACCAUGAAACUACUAGAACUACAUACAGAGAGAGAUAGAGAGACAUACCACCAUCGACACCCAGCAAAGAUACUUAAACCCGGGCUCCUUGUCACCGGCGGCCACGUUCCUGGCCUUCUUGGUCAGCUGGGCCACGCGCUUCUUGGUCGCCGCUGCGGCGUGUAAUUAAGCACAAGGAAACCUAAAACCAUGAUAACAUAGCAUGGUGAGGAAUCUCAAAACGAAACAACACAAUCAGCCUAACGUGCACACACUUAAGUUAGCCGGUCCCAAUGAUGUGAGCAAGCAAAU